rnacentral:rRNA from 1 species
GAACGCUGGCGGCGUGCCUAAUACAUGCAAGUCGAGCGAACAGACGAGGAGCUUGCUCCUCUGACGUUAGCGGCGGACGGGUGAGUAACACGUGGAUAACCUACCUAUAAGACUGGGAUAACUUCGGGAAACCGGAGCUAAUACCGGAUAAUAUAUUGAACCGCAUGGUUCAAUAGUGAAAGACGGUUUUGCUGUCACUUAUAGAUGGAUCCGCGCCGCAUUAGCUAGUUGGUAAGGUAACGGCUUACCAAGGCGACGAUGCGUAGCCGACCUGAGAGGGUGAUCGGCCGCACUGGAACUGAGACACGGUCCAGACUCCUACGGGAGGCAGCAGUAGGGAAUCUUCCGCAAUGGGCGAAAGCCUGACGGAGCAACGCCGCGUGAGUGAUGAAGGUCUUCGGAUCGUAAAACUCUGUUAUUAGGGAAGAACAAAUGUGUAAGUAACGAUGCACGUCUUGACGGUACCUAAUCAGAAAGCCACGGCUAACUACGU